rnacentral:misc_RNA from 1 species
AAGUCGUAACAAGGUUUCCGUAGGUGAACCUGCGGAAGGAUCAUUAACACGUAUCCAAACGUUAAACCCCCCUGUGAACCUUCAGUGUACUCGUACGUCCGUUAGAAAAAGCAGCAAUCCCUGGUAAAUCAUCGCCGAACAGUUUUCGAUUCAGGGACGUCUGCAAGGAGCGUGCAUGUUGUGCGAAGCAAGUGGCCUGGCAUCCCCAAGCAGUUAGUGUCUGAAAGUGUCAUUAACUGUGUAAGGAUGACGCAGUCACGAUCGUUGGAGGCCCACACGGCCGACGACCGGGUCACCGGGCGCAAGCCCCCCUAUAACAAACGCUGCUAAUCGCGGCCGCGAUAAUACGCAGUCGACCAAAAACCGAACAACUGUUAACAAUGGAUAUCUUGGUUCUC